UCGGGAAUAUUGCGCAAUGGAGGAAACUCUGACGCAGUGACGCCGCGUGCAGGAAGAAGGUUUUCGGAUUGUAAACUGCUUUAGACAGGGAAGAAAAAAGACAGUACCUGUAGAAUAAGCUCCGGCUAACUACGUGCCAGCAGCCGCGGUAAUACGUAGGGAGCGAGCGUUAUCCGGAUUUAUUGGGUGUAAAGGGUGCGUAGACGGGUAAUUAAGUUAGUUGUGAAAUCCCAAGGCUCAACUUUGGAACUGCAACUAAAACUAAAUAUCUUGAGUACUGGAGAGGAAAGUGGAAUUCCUAGUGUAGCGGUGAAAUGCGUAGAUAUUAGGAGGAACACCAGUGGCGAAGGCGACUUUCUGGACAGAAACUGACGUUGAGGCACGAAAGUGUGGGGAGCAAACAGG
rnacentral:rRNA from 1 species